rnacentral:miRNA from 2 species
ACUAUAUAUCAAACAUAUUCCUA